AGCGGUAAACAACUGUGGCAAAUAUCAGACCAGUGACAGAGAGACAGACGUGGACCCUGGCCUGAGGAUUCUGAUUUGAAGUGGAGUCUUUGGCAAUUGGCACAGGUUUUGCCUGACGUGUAGCGGAUAAAAAUGGCCCUUGCUCCGUGAACAGGGCACAAGGAAGGCCUCCCCAGACCCCGAGUGUUCCCUACUGCGCGUGGCCCGUGCGGCCGUGGGCUCAGACUCGGGCCCUGCGUCCGCCCAGCCGUGGGAGAGUCCCGGCAGGUAACAGAUGCGUGGGCUCAGCUCUGUCGCGACGAGGAGGCCGCGCAUCCUGGGGCGACCCCAGGGCCGCCACAGACACGCAUGCCCUCUCCCUCCCCAAGCCUCAGCUGACCCGCUCAAAGCAAGCGGUAGACGCACCGCCUUUCGAAUCAAUGUUUCCUAACGGUGUUUUCCCCGGUGUCUUUGUGUGUGGUGAGGUGGGCACGGGUCGGUUCAGCCUUUCUGGAAAGAAAAAGUAGAAUUGCACACGUAUUCCUUCGGGGAGGAAUCCGACCCGAGGGAAAUAAAUCAGGGACCAAGAUUUGUGGUCAAAAUAGGUUCACCGCGGUGUGUUUCGACGCUCUUGAAAGGCUGAGAAGAGAAACAGACGCUUCCCCGGGCGACAGCAGGAGUUUACAGCGUGCUCACCCUGCAGCCCCUCGAGGUCAUGGCACACGUCUCGCUGGGGGGCAGAAGCCUACGACAGAAAGUGAAACACAGAAGCGCGCACGCUGUCCGACCCCAGCGAUGGCACGGCACGGCCGCAGGAGGGAAGGGCGCGGCGAGUCUGUGGGAUCGAAUUUCGUUGGGGAUGUUUUCUCCAUUUUCCGAAUGUUUUCUAUCUGGUGUAAUAACAACCGUAAAACAGC